AACGAACGCUGGCGGCAGGCUUAACACAUGCAAGUCGAGCGCCCCGCAAGGGGAGCGGCAGACGGGUGAGUAACGCGUGGGAAUCUACCCAUCUCUACGGAAUAACGCACGGAAACGUGUGCUAAUACCGUAUACGUCCUUCGGGAGAAAGAUUUAUCGGAGAUGGAUGAGCCCGCGUUGGAUUAGCUAGUUGGUGGGGUAAAGGCCUACCAAGGCGACGAUCCAUAGCUGGUCUGAGAGGAUGAUCAGCCACACUGGGACUGAGACACGGCCCAGAGUCCUACGGGAGGCAGCAGUGUGGAAUAUUGGACAAUGGGCGCAAGCCUGAUCCAGCCAUGCCGCGUGAGUGAUGAAGGCCCUAGGGUUGUAAAGCUCUUUCACCGGUGAAGAUAAUGACGGUAACCGGAGAAGAAGCCCCGGCUAACUUCGUGCCAGCAGCCGCCGCAGUAA
rnacentral:rRNA from 1 species